rnacentral:rRNA from 1 species
AUGGCUCAGGAUAAACGCUGGCGGCGUGCUUAACACAUGCAAGUCGAACGGAGUACUUCUCCCGAGACCGAGGAAGCUUGCUCCAAAGAAUCAUUGAAGUACUUAGUGGCGGACGGGUGAGUAACGCGUGGGUAACCUGCCUCACACAGGGGGAUAACAGUUGGAAACGACUGUUAAUACCGCAUAAGCGCACAGUAUCGCAUGAUACAGUGUGAAAAACUCCGGUGGUGUGAGAUGGACCCGCGUCUGACUAGCUAGUUGGUGAGGUAACGGCCCACCAAGGCGACGAUCAGUAGCCGGCCUGAGAGGGUGUACGGCCACAUUGGGACUGAGACACGGCCCAAACUCCUACGGGAGGCAGCAGUGGGGAAUAUUGCACAAUGGGGGAAACCCUGAUGCAGCGACGCCCGCGUGAGUGAUGAAGUAUCUCGGUAUGUAAAGCUCUAUCAGCAGGGAAGAUAAUGACGGUACCUGACUAAGAAGCACCGGCUAAAUACGUGCCAGCCGCGGC